GACGAACGCUGGCGGCGUGCUUAACACAUGCAAGUCGAGCGAGAAGACGUAGCAAUACGUUUGUAAAGCGGCGAACGGGUGAGGAAUACAUGGGUAACCUACCCUCGAGUGGGGAAUAACUAGCCGAAAGGUUAGCUAAUACCGCGUACGCUCCUUGGACUUCGGUUCAGGGAGGAAAGCGAUACCGUGGGUAUCGCGCUCUUGGAUGGGCUCAUGUCCUAUCAGCUUGUUGGUGAGGAACGGCUCACCAAGGCUUCGACGGGUAGCUGGUCUGAGAGGACGAUCAGCCACACUGGCACUGCGACACGGGCCAGACUCCUACGGGAGGCAGCAGUGGGGAAUAUUGGACAAUGGGCGAAAGCCUGAUCCAGCGAUGCCGCGUGUGUGAAGAAGG
rnacentral:rRNA from 1 species